rnacentral:rRNA from 1 species
GAUGAACGCUGGCGGCGUGCCUAAUACAUGCAAGUCGAGCGAACAGACGAGGAGCUUGCUCCUCUGACGUUAGCGGCGGACGGGUGAGUAACACGUGGAUAACCUACCUAUAAGACUGGGAUAACUUCGGGAAACCGGAGCUAAUACCGGAUAAUAUAUUGAACCGCAUGGUUCAAUAGUGAAAGACGGUUUUGCUGUCACUUAUAGAUGGAUCCGCGCCGCAUUAGCUAGUUGGUAGGGUAACGGCUUACCAAGGCAACGAUGCGUAGCCGACCUGAGAGGGUGAUCGGCCACACUGGAACUGAGACACGGUCCAGACUCCUACGGGAGGCAGCAGUAGGGAAUCGUCCGCAAUGGGCGAAAGCUUGACGGAGCAACGCCGCGUGAGUGAUGAAGGUCUUCGGAUCGUAAAACUCUGUUAUUAGGGAAGAACAAAUGUGUAAGUAACUAUGCACGUCUUGACGGUACCUAAUCAGAAAGCCACGGCUAACUACGUG